UGGGGAAUUUUGCGCAAUGGGCGAAAGCCUGACGCAGCAACGCCGCGUGAGUGAUGAAGGCUCUUGGGUCGUAAAGCUCUGACAGAGGGAAAGAAGUGCAUGGUGGCUAAUAUCCACUGUGCUUGACGGUACCCUCAAAGGAAGCACCGGCUAACUCCGUGCCAGCAGCCGCGGUAAUACGGAGGGUGCGAGCGUUGUUCGGAUUUAUUGGGCGUAAAGCGCGUGUAGGCGGUUUAUUAAGUCUGAUGUGAAAGCCCCGGGCUCAACCUGGGAAGUGCAUUGGAUACUGGUAGACUUGAAUACGGGAGAGGGCAGUGGAAUUCCUGGUGUAGGAGUGAAAUCCGUAGAUAUCAGGAGGAACACCGGUGGCGAAGGCGGCUGCCUGGACCGAUAUUGACGCUGAGACGCGAAAGCGUGGGUAGCAAACAGG
rnacentral:rRNA from 1 species